rnacentral:rRNA from 1 species
UACGUAGGGGGCAAGCGUUGUCCGGAAUUAUUGGGCGUAAAGAGCGUGUAGGCGGUCCGGUAAGUCAGCUGUGAAAGUCAAGGGCUCAACCCUUGAAUGCCGGUUGAUACUGUCGGGCUAGAGUCCGGAAGAGGCGAGUGGAAUUCCCGGUGUAGCGGUGAAAUGCGCAGAUAUCAGGAGGAACACCAAUGGCGAAGGCAGCUCGCUGGGACGGUACUGACGCUGAGGCGCGAAAGCGUGGGGAGCGAACAGG